CCUACGGGGUGCUGCAGUGGGGAAUAUUGGACAAUGGGCGAAAGCCUGAUCCAGCCAUGCCGCGUGUGUGAAGAAGGCCUUCGGGUUGUAAAGCACUUUCAGUGGGGAAGAAAGCCUUGGGGCUAAUACCCUCGAGGAAGGACAUCACCCACAGAAGAAGCACCGGCUAACUCCGUGCCAGCAGCCGCGGUAAUACGGAGGGUGCGAGCGUUAAUCGGAAUUACUGGGCGUAAAGCGCGCGUAGGCGGUCUGAUAAGCCGGUUGUGAAAGCCCCGGGCUCAACCUGGGAACGGCAUCCGGAACUGUCAGGCUAGAGUGCAGGAGAGGAAGGUAGAAUUCCCGGUGUAGCGGUGAAAUGCGGAGAGAUCGGGAGGAAUACCAGUGGCGAAGGCGGCCUUCUGGACUGACACUGACGCUGAGGUGCGAAAGCGUGGGUAGCAAACAGGAUUAGAUACCCCGGUAGUC
rnacentral:rRNA from 1 species